UACGAAGGGGGCUAGCGUUGUUCGGAUUUACUGGGCGUAAAGCGCACGUAGGCGGAUCGUUAAGUCGGGGGUGAAAUCCUGGAGCUCAACUCCAGAACUGCCUUCGAUACUGGCGAUCUUGAGUCCGGAAGAGGUGAGUGGAACUCCUAGUGUAGAGGUGGAAUUCGUAGAUAUUAGGAAGAACACCAGUGGCGAAGGCGGCUCACUGGUCCGGUACUGACGCUGAG
rnacentral:rRNA from 1 species